rnacentral:rRNA from 1 species
CACGUAGGGUGCGAGCGUUGUCCGGAAUUACUGGGCGUAAAGAGCUCGUAGGUGGUUUGUCACGUCGUCUGUGAAAUUCCGGGGCUUAACCUCGGGCGUGCAGGCGAUACGGGCAAUACUUGAGUGCUGUAGGGGAGACUGGAAUUCCUGGUGUAGCGGUGAAAUGCGCAGAUAUCAGGAGGAACACCAAUGGCGAAGGCAGGUCUCUGGGCAGUUACUGACGCUGAGGAGCGAAAGCAUGGGUAGCGAACAGGAUUAGA